GACGAACGCUGGCGGCGUGCUUAACACAUGCAAGUCGAACGAAGAGCGAUGGAAGCUUGCUUCUAUCAAUCUUAGUGGCGAACGGGUGAGUAACGCGUAAUCAACCUGCCCUUCAGAGGGGGACAACAGUUGGAAACGACUGCUAAUACCGCAUACGAUCUAAUCUCGGCAUCGAGGAUAGAUGAAAGGUGGCCUCUACAUGUAAGCUAUCACUGAAGGAGGGGAUUGCGUCUGAUUAGCUAGUUGGAGGGGUAACGGCCCACCAAGGCGAUGAUCAGUAGCCGGUCUGAGAGGAUGAACGGCCACAUUGGGACUGAGACACGGCCCAGACUCCUACGGGAGGCAGCAGUGGGGAAUCUUCCGCAAGGGACGAAAGUCUGACGGAGCAACGCCGCGUGAGGGAUGACGGCCUUCGGGUUGUAAAGCUCUGUUAAUCGGGACGAAAGGCCUUCUUGCGAAUAGUGAGAAGGAUUGACGGUACCGGAAUAGAAAGCCACGGCUAACUACGUG
rnacentral:rRNA from 1 species